rnacentral:rRNA from 1 species
AUUGAACGCUGGCGGCAGGCCUAACACAUGCAAGUCGAGCGAGCGGCGGACGGGUGAGUAAUGUCUGGGAAAAUGCCUGAUGGAGGGGGAUAACUACUGGAAACGGUAGCUAAUACCGCAUACCAUCAGAUGUGCCCAGAUGGGAUUGGCUGGUAGGUGGUGUAACGGCUCGCCUAGGCGACGACCCCUAGCUGGUCUGAGAGGAUGACCAGCCACACUGGACCUGAGACACGGUCCAGACUCCUACGGGAGGCAGCAGUGGGGAAUAUUGCACAAUGGGCGCAAGCCUGAUGCAGCCAUGCCGCGUUUGUGAAGAAGGCCGUCUGGUUGUAAAGCACUUUCAGCGGGGAGGCUUGACCCGCAGAAGAAGCACCGGCUAACUCCGUGCCAGCAGCCGCGGUAAUUC